GGUUAACGCUGGCGGCGUGCCUAACACAUGCAAGUCGAACGGUUCUAAGCGCGAGCUUAGGAUAGUGGCGAACGGGUGAGUAAAAGGUAGGAAUCUACCCCUUGGACGGAGAUAGCUACUGGAAACGGUAGGUAAACUUCGAUAAGCCCGAGAGGGGAAAGUGGUGAGACAGCCGAGGGAUGAGCCUACUCUCCAUCAGGUAGUUGGUGAGAUAAAAGCUUACCAAGCCGAUGACGGAUAACCGGUGUGAGAGCAUGAACGGUCACAAGGGCACUGAGAGACGGGCCCUACUCCUACGGGAGGCAGCAGUGGGGAAUCUUGGACAAUGGGCGAAAGCCUGAUCCAGCGACGCCGCGUGGAGGAAGAAGUCCUUCGGGAGUGUAAACUUCUGAACUAGCCGAAUAAAAGGACCUGUGGACACACAGGAGAAGAAAGUAGGCUAGGAAAGUACCCGGCUAACUACGUGCCAGCAGCCGCGGUAAGGCUACGUAGA
rnacentral:rRNA from 1 species